rnacentral:rRNA from 1 species
GGUUGAUCCUGCCAGUAGUCAUAUGCUUGUCCCAAAGAUUAAGCCAUGCAUGUCCAAGUAUAAAUCUUUAUAUGGUGAAACUGCGAAUGGCUCAUUAUAUCAGUUAUAAUUUACUUGAUGAUAAGUUGCUACAUGGAUAACCGUGGUAAUUCUAGAGCUAAUACAUGCGUAAUGUCCCGCAAGGGGCAGUAUUUAUUAGAUAAAAACCAAUAGUAAUUGGCGAGUCAUGAUAACUGGGCGGAUCGUAUGGCGUUAGGCCGACGACGCAUCAAUCAAAUUUCUGCCCUAUCAA